rnacentral:lncRNA from 1 species
ACUAUUACGCUCAUCAAACUCAACUGUUACUGUGAUAGAAAUUAAGUACCAUGUUAAUUUACUUCCGAAACACAUUUCUUCACUUACUCUUGUUUGCAGUUUAUAAACCUGGAGAAUAUCACACACAAAUUUCCACAACACCACGAAGUUGCUGCUGACUACAAGGUACACGAAGGGUGACAGUAUCGCAGAACCAGUAGAUGCAUUCAAAACCAGCGUGAAUCUUGUCGCUCGUGUGGCCAACAGCAGAAUUUUACGUCUUUUUCAACGCAGUUGUGAGAGAAUCCUUACACAGUGGUUCAUUAAAUUUAUCAAGAGAGGAACUGGUGAAAACUAAGUACCUGCUCCUGAUGAACGAUUGCCACCUUGAAAAAGCCAUAAUGGUUUCCACUAAGAUUAGCCCACAAGAUACACACUACAAUGCAAGACUCAAGUCUUCUGUAGCAUCUGCUUCCCCAUCAACAUCACUUUGUUCACAACAGUCUAAAUGCAGUAACUGUAGCUAUGCUGCAAGUUUAUACAAAAGUGUUAUAAGUAACGGUAUUUUAUACAAUGACUCAAGAGCUCUGAAUUACACAGUUCUGUAAAGAAGUUUGGUGAAACUAUAUGGCUUGAGUAUUUAAAUACUGCCAUUGAGUGGCAGAUUGAAGGAUUUGUU